GACAACGGCCAUGCCACCCUGAACAUGCCGGAUCUCGUCUGAUCUCUGAAGCUAAGCAGUGUUGGGCCUGGUUAGUACUUGGAUGGGAGACCACCUAGGAUUACCAGGUGCUGUAGGCG
rnacentral:rRNA from 1 species